GCGAGGUGGGUGCAGCCUGGAAUGACGGACUCUGGGUUCCGGGAAGGCCUCUCCAAAGUCAACAAAACAGCCAGCGGGCGGGAACUGUUAUGAUCACCUCCACAUCUCAGACCAAAGGGUCGUCCUCCCCCAGCAUUUCUCACUCCUGCCCUUCUUCCACAGCGUAUGUGGGGAGGUGGAGGGGGUCCAUGUGGACCAGGCGCCCAGCUCCCCGGGACCCCGGUUCCCGGACAAGCCCAUUUGGAAGAAGAGUCCCUUCCUCCCCCCAAAUAUUGGGCAGCCCUGUCCUUACCCCGGGACCACCCCUCCCUUCCAGCUA
rnacentral:lncRNA from 1 species